rnacentral:rRNA from 1 species
AUACGGAGGGUGCGAGCGUUAAUCGGAAUUACUGGGCGUAAAGCGUGUGUAGGUGGUUAGAUAAGUUAGAUGUGAAAUCCCCGGGCUUAACCUGGGCACUGCGUUUAAGACUGUUUAGCUAGAGUACUGUAGAGGAUAGUGGAAUUUCCAGUGUGGCGGUGAAAUGCGUAGAUAUUGGAAGGAACACCAGUGGCGAAGGCGACUAUCUGGACAGAUACUGACACUGAGACACGAAAGCGUGGGGAGC